ACCUACGGGGGGCAGCAGUAGGGAAUCUUCCACAAUGGGCGAAAGUCUGAUGGAGCAACGCCGCGUGGGUGAAGAAGGUCUUCGGAUCGUAAAACCCUGUUGUUAGAGAAGAAAGUGCGUGAGAGUAACUGUUCACGUUUCGACGGUAUCUAACCAGAAAGCCACGGCUAACUACGUGCCAGCAGCCGCGGUAAUACGUAGGUGGCAAGCGUUAUCCGGAUUUAUUGGGCGUAAAGGGAACGCAGGCGGUCUUUUAAGUCUGAUGUGAAAGCCUUCGGCUUAACCGGCGUAGUGCAUUGGAAACU
rnacentral:rRNA from 1 species